rnacentral:rRNA from 1 species
CCAUGCCGCGUGCAGGAAGACGGCCCUAUGGGUUGUAAACUGCUUUUAUACGGGAAGAAACACUCCCUCGUGAGGGAGCUUGACGGUACCGUAAGAAUAAGGAUCGGCUAACUCCGUGCCAGCAGCCGCGGUAAUACGGAGGAUCCAAGCGUUAUCCGGAAUCAUUGGGUUUAAAGGGUCCGUAGGCGGGACAAUAAGUCAGCGGUGAAAGUCUGUGGCUCAACCAUAGAAUUGCCAUUGAUACUGUUGUUCUUGAGUGUUUAUGAAGUGGUUGGAAUAUGUAGUGUAGCGGUGAAAUGCAUAGAUAUUACAUAGAACACCGAUUGCGAAGGCAGAUCACUAAUAAAAUACUGACGCUGAUGGACGAAAGCGUAGGUAGCGAACAGGAUUAGAUACCCUGGUAGUCUACGCCGUAAACGAUGGUUACUAGCUGUUCGGUCGUAAGACUGAGUGGCUAAGCGAAAGUGAUAAGUAACCCACCUGGGGAGUACGUUCGCAAGAAUGAAACUCAAAGGAAUUGACGGGGGCCCGCACAAGCGGUGGAGCAUGUGGUUUAAUUCGAUGAUACGCGAGGAACCUUACC